CAGGCUUAAAAAGAUCAAACGGAAUAAAAAAUAUAGUUAAAAUGGAUUUAAUUUUGAAGUCGAAAAUCAAUCUGAUCUAAUUCACAAGUUGGUGGUCCAUCAUGGAUCACUUGGUCUAUAAGAAGGGUGGUGAGCCAUGAAAUGCUACAGUAAUUUUUUUUAUGUGGUUCAGGAAGAAUUGGGAUAUUGGAGUUGCGACAUUGAAUGC
rnacentral:lncRNA from 1 species